AACGAACGCUGGCGGCAGGCCUAACACAUGCAAGUCGAACGCCCUGGCAACAGGGAGUGGCAGACGGGUGAGUAACGCGUGGGAACGUGCCUUUCGGUUCGGAAUAACCCAGGGAAACUUGGAUUAAUACCGGAUACGUGCGAGAGCAGAAAGAUUUAUCGCCGAAAGAUCGGCCCGCGUCCGAUUAGCUAGUUGGUGAGGUAAAGGCUCACCAAGGCGACGAUCGGUAGCUGGUCUGAGAGGAUGAUCAGCCACACUGGGACUGAGACACGGCCCAGACUCCUACGGGAGGCAGCAGUGGGGAAUAUUGGACAAUGGGCGCAAGCCUGAUCCAGCCAUGCCGCGUGAGUGAUGAAGGCCCUAGGGUUGUAAAGCUCUUUCGCCAGGGACGAUAAUGACGGUACCUGGAUAAGAAGCCCCGCUAACUUCGUGCCAGCCGCCGCGGU
rnacentral:rRNA from 1 species